AAAAUGAUGGGCUGAAUUUAAAUUUAAUAAAGCAUCUCAUUAAGACAAACACUCGAUAUGAAUAUCUCGGCAAUAGAAUGUUGGAUACGCAAACGUCAAAUUGAUUUCAAACCGAAGCGGUGGUUUUUAUGCCGAUUUGUGCAAGUGGUUAUCUCCCCUUAAUAUCACCAGUCAAAAAUAAAAAACCCAGCAAAAUGCAUAAAAAUUAAAAAAGGAGUUUACUUUACAAAAAUUAGAAAGAAAAUAAACGAAACUCGAUUUAUAACUAUGUUAUGAUAAUAUAAAGAAGAGAUACUUCCCCCUAUUUUUCAGAGAAG
rnacentral:lncRNA from 1 species